UAGGGAAUCUUCGGCAAUGGACGGAAGUCUGACCGAGCAACGCCGCGUGAGUGAAGAAGGUUUUCGGAUCGUAAAGCUCUGUUGUUAGAGAAGAACGUUGGUAGGAGUGGAAAAUCUACCAAGUGACGGUAACUAACCAGAAAGGGACGGCUAACUACGUGCCAGCAGCCGCGGUAAUCCGUAGGUCCCGAGCGUUGUCCGGAUUUAUUGGGCGUAAAGCGAGGGCAGGCGGUUCUUUAAGUCUGAAGUUAAAGGCAGUGGCUUAACCAUUGUACGCUUUGGAAACUGGAGGACUUGAGUGCAGAAGGGGAGAGUGGAAUUCCAUGUGUAGCGCUGAAAUGCGUAGAUAUAUGGAGGAACACCGGUGGCGAAAGCGGCUCUCUGGUCUGUAACUGACGCGGAGGCUAGAAAGCGUGGGGAGCAAACAGG
rnacentral:rRNA from 1 species